UACGAAGGUGGCAAGCGUUGUUCGGAUUUACUGGGCGUAAAGAGCGCGCAGGCGGUCGUUCAAGUCGAGUGUGAAAGCCCCCGGCUCAACUGGGGAGGGUCAUUCGAUACUGAUCGACUGGAAGGCAGGAGAGGGAAGCGGAAUUCCCGGUGUAGUGGUGAAAUGCGUAGAUAUCGGGAGGAACACCAGUGGCGAAGGCGGCUUCCUGGCCUGUUCUUGACGCUGAGGCGCGAAAGCUAGGGGAGCAAACGGG
rnacentral:rRNA from 1 species